rfam:Gossypium hirsutum cultivar TM-1 chromosome 19, whole genome shotgun sequence
AACUAGUCCUCAUCUAUUUAUAUUGUUAAAAACUGGCAUAGCUGACGAAAUAACCAAACAAUGAUACGUGACGUGUACCUUAUGAUAAUAUACAGGGACGGGUUUUUAACAGUAGAAAUGGAUAAGAAUUUUAAUA